rnacentral:rRNA from 1 species
CAAUACCUGUUGAUCCUGCAGGAGGUUGCUGCUAUUUGGAUUCCACUCAGCCAUGCAAGUCUGGCGUCUUCUUCGGAAGGACCGGCGAAAUGCUCAGUAACACGUUGAUAACUUAACCUUAGGUGGGGAACAGCCUCGGGAAACUGAGGGUAAUGCCCCAUAGGAGAUUGAUACUGGAAUGUUCUUUCUCUGAAAGCUGCGGCGCCUAAGGAUGGGUCAGCGGCUGAUUAGGUUGUUGGCGAGGUAACGGCUCACCAAGCCUUUGAUCAGUAGGAGCCUUGAGAGAGGUAGCUCCGAGAAGGGCACUGAGAAAAGGGCCCUAGCCCUACGGGGUGCAGCAGGCGGGAAACCUUUACAAUGUGCGCAAGCACGAUAAGGGAAUCCAGAGUGCCUGUGCUUCGGUACAGGCUUUUUGCAAGAGUAAAUAUCUUGCAGAAUAAGUGAUGGGAAAGACGGGUGCCAGCCGCCGCGGUAAUCCCCGCGUCACAAGUGGCAACCGCAUUUAUUGGGCCUAAAGCGUCCGUAGCAGGUCACGUCAGUUCCUUGUGAAAUCGUAUGGCUCAACCAUACGGCGUGCAAGGAAUACUGCGCGACUUGGAACUGGGAAGAGUAAAGGGUAUUUCUGGGUUAGCGGUAGAAUGCUAUAACCCCAGAAGGACCGCCGAUGGCGAAGGCACUUUACUGGAACAGGUUCGACUGUGAGGGACGAAAGCUAGGGGAGCGAUCCGGAUUAGAUACCCGAGUAGUCCUAGCUGUAAACGCUGCGUGCUAGGCGUUGCCAGAACUACAUGUUUUGGCAGUGUCGUAGUGAAGACGUUAAGCACGCCGCCUGGGAAGUACGGUCGCAAGGCUGAAACUUAAAGGAAUUGGCGGGGAAGCACUACAACGGGUGCUUCGUGCGGUUUAAUUUAAUUCCACACAGAACAUCUCACUAGGAGCAACGGCAGGAUGAAGGUCAAGCUGAAGACUUUACCUGACGAGCCGAGUGGUGCUGCAUGGCCGCCGUCAGCUCGUGCUGUAAGGUGUCCUCUUAAGUGAGGCAACGAGCGAGACCCGUGUCAGCAAUUGCAAACGAGUACUCCGGUACGAUCGAGCACUUUGCAGAGACUGCCUUGGAAACAAGGAGGAAGGUGCGGGCAACGGUAGGUCUGUAUAGCCCUAAUCUCCUAGGCUACACGCGCGAUGCAAUGAUAGGGACAAUGGGAUACAACUCCGAAAGGAGAAGUUAAACCUUCAAACCCUAUCCUAGUUCAAAUCGAGGUUUGUAACUUAGCCUCGUGACGCCGGAAUCCGUAGUAAUUGGGCUUUAUCAAAGCCCAGUGAAUAUGUCCCUGCUUCUUGCACACACCGCCCGUCAAGCCACUCGAGCAGGCUUCGAGUGAGGUUUGGUUUUUUGAUCAGUUCGAACUCGAGGUCAGUGAGAUGGGCUAAGUCGUCACAAGGUAGCCGUAGGGGAACCUGCGGCUGGAUCACCUCCUU